AUACGAAGGGUGCGAGCGUUGUUCGGAAUUAUUGGGCGUAAAGGGUUCGUAGGCGGGAUUGUAAGUCAAGUGUGAAAUCCCCGAGCUUAACUCGGGACGUGCAUUUGAAACUAUAGUUCUUGAGUCAUAGAGAGGGUAGUGGAAUUGUUGGUGUAGGAGUGACAUCCGUAGAGAUCAACAGGAACAUCAGAGGCGAAAGCGGCUACCUGGCUAUGUACUGACGCUGAGGAACGAAAGUGUGGGGAGCAAACAGGAUUAGAUACCCUGGUAGUCCACACCAUAAACGAUGAUAACUAGGUGUUGGGGGAGUUGACCCCCUCAGUACCGUAGCUCACGCGCUAAGUUAUCCGCCUGGGGAGUACGGCCGCAAGGCUAAA
rnacentral:rRNA from 1 species